UGAAAUUGAAAAGCUAUACAAAUGAACUCUGAAAAUGUUAAAACUUGGCGUGGUAUCAUCAUUUCACCCACAUAGCUUGUGCUAAAAAGUUGAGAGGGUUAUGGGAAAAACUGGAUGCACUUCAUGUACAAACUCGGGUAUCUCCUUUGAAGUAUCAAGGUUUCAAACGAAAACCCAUCUGUUACAAAGGCAUUUCAUUUUUUUUUACUUAUUUCAACUCCAGACUUUUUGUGCAUUUUGUGCAUUCAAUAUGCACCAUUCAAAACCACAUCCUAAAAUUUCAACCAUUUAUAACUUCAUUUGUUAUUUUUCAUGCAUUUAAUGAAUUUUUUGAGCUAAAUGACCCUGAAAUUGAAAAGCCCGUCAAAUGAACUCUGAAAAGGUUGAAACUUGGCAUGGUAUCAUCAUUUCACCCACAUAGCAUGUGCUACAAAGUUGAGAAGGUUACGACAAAAACUGGAUGCACUUCGUGUACAAACUGAUCCAUCUCCUUCGAAGUAUCAAGGUUUUGGACGAAAACUCGUCUGUUACAAAGGCAUUUUUUAAAAAUUAUUUCAACUCCAGACUUUUUGUGCAUUCAAUAUGCACCAUACUACAACAUGUUAAAAUCUACAGAAAGAACUAACUAAAAAUAAAAAAAACAAUAACUAAAUAACUAAAACAACUAUAUAAGCAAAACAAUAUUGUUUUAAUUAAAAUCAUAAUUUAAAAUUUUCUAAAAAUAAUCGAAUAAAUCUUACCGUGACUACGAGCAAAAGAAAAAUUAAAAACUAUUUGUAAACUCAAGUUAUUCACAAUCUGGGUUUGAAGCAAAUUUGAACAAAUUCAAAUUUAAACCAUUCAAAUUUGAAAACUAAUGGCAUAAACAAAAACUAGACAAAAUUUUGAAUCUAAUGCAAAAAUAAUCUCUCAAAAAUAUCAAAUAUUUUGAAAGAUAUAAGAAAUUUAAAACAGAAACUACAAAGAGAAAACAAAUUUAAAAA
rnacentral:lncRNA from 1 species